rnacentral:rRNA from 1 species
GAUGAACGCUGGCGGCGUGCCUAAUACAUGCAAGUCGAGCGAACAGGCGAGGAGCUUGCUCCUCUGACGUUAGCGGCGGACGGGUGAGUAACACGUGGAUAACCUCCCUAUAAGACUGGGAUAACUUCGGGAAACCGGAGCUAAUACCGGAUAAUAUAUUGAACCGCAUGGUUCAAUAGUGAAAGACGGUUUUGCUGUCACUUAUAGAUGGCUCCGCGCCGCAUUAGAUAGUUGGUACGGUAACGGCUUACCAAGGCAACGAUGCGUAGCCGACCUGAGAGAGUGAUCGGCCACACGAGAACUGAGACACGGUCCAGACUCCUGCGGGAGGCAGCAGUAGGGAAUCGGCCGCAAUGGGCGAAAACCUGACGGAGCAACGCCGCGUGAGUGAUGAAGGUCUUCGGAUCGUAAAACUCUGUUAUUAGGGAAGAACAAAUGUGUAAGUAACUAUGCACGUCUUGACGGUACCUAAUCAGAAAGCCACGGCUAACUACGUG